CCUACGGGAGGCAGCAGUAGGGAAUCUUCCGCAAUGGGCGAAAGCCUGACGGAGCAACGCCGCGUGAGUGAUGAAGGUUUUCGGAUCGUAAAGCUCUGUUGCCAGGGAAGAACGUCCGAUAGAGUAACUGCUAUCGGAGUGACGGUACCUGAGAAGAAAGCCCCGGCUAACUACGUGCCAGCAGCCGCGGUAAU
rnacentral:rRNA from 1 species